ACGAACGCUGGCGGCACGCUUAACACAUGCAAGUCGAACGAGAGAAGAGAAGCUUGCUUUUCUGAUCUAGUGGCGGACGGGUGAGUAACACGUGAGCAAUCUGCCUUUCAGAGGGGGAUACCGAUUGGAAACGAUCGUUAAUACCGCAUAAUAUAAUUGAACCGCAUGAUUUGAUUAUCAAAGAUUUAUCGCUGAAAGAUGAGCUCGCGUCUGAUUAGCUAGUUGGUAAGGUAACGGCUUACCAAGGCGACGAUCAGUAGCCGGACUGAGAGGUUGAUCGGCCACAUUGGGACUGAGACACGGCCCAGACUCCUACGGGAGGCAGCAGUGGGGAAUAUUGCACAAUGGAGGAAACUCUGAUGCAGCGAUGCCGCGUGAGGGAAGAAGGUUUUAGGAUUGUAAACCUCUGUCUUCAGGGACGAAAAAUGACGGUACCUGAGGAGGAAGCUCCGGCUAACUACGUGCCAGCAGCCGCGGUAAUACGUAGGGAGCGAGCGUUGUCCGGAAUUACUGGGUGUAAAGGGAGCGUAGGCGGGAUCGCAAGUCAGAUGUGAAAACUAUGGGCUUAACCCAUAAACUGCAUUUGAAACUGUGGUUCUUGAGUGAAGUAGAGGUAAGCGGGAUUCCUAGUGUAGCGGUGAAAUGCGUAGAUAUUAGGAGGAACAUCAGUGGCGAAGGCGGCUUACUGGGCUUUAACUGACGCUGAGGCUCAAAAGCGUGGGGAGCAAACAGGAUUAGAUACCCUGGUAGUCCACGCCGUAAACGAUGAUUACUAGGUGUGGGGGGACUGACCCCUUCCGUGCCGCAGCAAACGCAAUAAGUAAUCCACCUGGGGAGUACGACCGCAAGGUUGAAACUCAAAGGAAUUGACGGGGGCCCGCACAAGCAGUGGAGUAUGUGGAUUAAUUCGAAGCAACGCGAAGAACCUUACCAGGUCUUGACAUCGUAUGCAUAGCUCAGAGAUGAGUGAAAUCUCUUCGGAGACAUAUAGACAGGUGGUGCAUGGUUGUCGUCAGCUCGUGUCGUGAGAUGUUGGGUUAAGUCCCGCAACGAGCGCAACCCUUACUGUUAGUUGCUACGCAAGAGCACUCUAGCAGGACUGCCGUUGACAAAACGGAGGAAGGUGGGGAUGACGUCAAAUCAUCAUGCCCCUUAUGACCUGGGCCUCACACGUACUACAAUGGCUGUCAACAGAGGGAAGCAAAGCCGCGAGGUGGAGCAAACCCCUAAAAGCAGUCUUAGUUCGGAUUGUAGGCUGCAACCCGCCUACAUGAAGUCGGAAUUGCUAGUAAUCGCAGAUCAGCAUGCUGCGGUGAAUACGUUCCCGGGCCUUGUACACACCGCCCGUCACGCCAUGGGAGUCGGUAACACCCGAAGCCUGUAGUCUAACCGCAAGGAGGACGCAGUCGAAGGUGGGAUUGAUGACUGGGGUG
rnacentral:rRNA from 1 species